GACGAAUGCUGGCGGCGUGCUUAACACAUGCAAGUCGAACGGUGAAAGCGGAGCUUGCUCCGCUGGAUCAGUGGCGAACGGGUGAGUAACACGUGGGCAACCUGCCCCUCACUUCGGGAUAACUCCGGGAAACCGGGGCUAAUACCGGAUAUGACCUCCUUGGGCAUCCUUGGAGGUGGAAAGUUUUUCGGUGAGGGAUGGGCCCGCGGCCUAUCAGGUUGUUGGUGGGGUAGUGGCUUACCAAGGCGACGACGGGUAGGCGGCCUGAGAGGGCGGACGGGCAAACUGGGACUGGGACACGGCCCAGACUUCUACGGGAGGCAGGCGUGGGGAAUAUUGCGCAAUGGGCGAAAGCCUGACGCAGCAACGCCGCGUGCGGGAUGACGGCCUUCGGGUUGUAAACCGCUUUCAGCAGGGAAGAAGCCGCAAGGUGACGGUACCUGCAGAAGAAGCACCGGCUAACUACGUGCCAGCCGCCGCAGUAA
rnacentral:rRNA from 1 species